UACGUAGGGAGCAAGCGUUGUUCGGAUUUACUGGGCGUAAAGGGCGCGUAAGCGGCCACCGCAAGUCAGUUGUGAAAUCUCUGGGCUUAACCCAGAACGGUCAGCUGAUACUGCGGGGCUAGAGUGCAGAAGGGGCAACUGGAAUUCUCGGUGUAGCGGUGAAAUGCGUAGAUAUCGAGAGGAACACCUGCGGCGAAGGCGGGUUGCUGGGCUGACACUGACGCUGACAGCGCGAAAGCUAGGGGAGCGAACGGG
rnacentral:rRNA from 1 species